AUAUCUCUCUGUACGGGAAGGAUGAGAAGCUUCGACUAAGGUUCGAUUCGAGCGUCAGCGAGAAAGCGUUGCCGCAGGCAACGACCCGAAGGGCGAAGCGCGCAGCGCUGAGUCAUCCUUCCCCCAC
rnacentral:sRNA from 2 species